rnacentral:rRNA from 1 species
UACAGAGGUCUCGAGCGUUGUUCGGAUUCAUUGGGCGUAAAGGGUGCGUAGGUGGCGCUGUAAGUCGGGUGUGAAAUCCUGAGGCUUAACCUCGGAACUGCAUUCGAUACUGCGGCGCUUGAGGACUGGAGAGGAGACUGGAAUUCAUGGUGUAGCAGUGAAAUGCGUAGAGAUCAUGAGGAAGACCAGUGGCGAAGGCGGCCUUCUGGACAGUGACUGACGCUGAGACGCGAAAGCGUGGGGAGCAAACAGG